UGAGCAACAAGGAUCAUACAACAAUAUUCAAGCAAAGAUCCAAAUGAUCAGAGUACAACAUUAAAUCCCAUCCAACAAUCCUGGAGGUGAUUCUCAACAUAAACAACAAAUACAAACUAAGGAAGAUGUCCUCCAGGAAUGAGAGUCUUCAGAUACUGGCACUGGUCUAUCAACAGGUCACAUUCUGAACAUUCAGGCAGAGGAGUGAGCUUCUCCUUCAGUUGCC
rnacentral:lncRNA from 1 species